rnacentral:lncRNA from 1 species
CUUAAGACUGUCCAAAUUUUUCAGAGUAAAUAGGACCAAUUUCGAAUCUAAAAGUGAAGGAGAAGAAAAUCUUUCAAGUCUUCAAGUUCCUUCGAACGAUUGGGCUCGAGACGAGUAUUUCUCCUUUGUUCUCAAAGAGAACAUACGACUAAUACCAAUUUCGAGUCAAAUCGAAAUCGCCCGAGGUUUAUCAAGCCCUGUCGGUAUGGCCAUCGAGGUAUUUUCUUUGUUUUGUCUCCUUUGUCUCCCUCGUCUGUUUCGUUCUUAAACCUGGAUUAUUCUGUUUCUUCUCUUCUCAUUCCUUUUAAUGUUCGUGGUAAUGAAUUUGAGUCCUCUUCCUCUUUAAUUUAAGUUUGUUAUUUGAAGUUCAAUGAAAUAGGAAUUAGCGUAUCAAUGUCAUGGUUUAACUUGAUUAGUUAAUCAAUUUAAUUACUUUAAAUGACUGUUUUCGAGCUUCUUUAGUGAAAUCUUUUUCUAUUGAAAAUUCAAAAGUUGGUUUGUUCGAAAGAUUCUUACUAAAUUCAGAAUUUGAAAACUCAAUUUAGAAUGCUAGUAUAUAGACUUAUGGUUUGCACUGGGUCUUGGGUUAAUUCAACACUGGGUCAACUUUGACCCAUAUCUAUUAUGGUUUCCGAAGGUAAAUAAUAGUUGUUUAAGGGGUAGUUUAGGGAAAUUAGGCAGGGGAAUCUUUUAUAACUGCAUUAGGAAGCUUCUAGGUUAGUGGGGAAGGGAUUGGCUUGCAAAACUGAUUUUUAUUGGGGUUUGAACUGAAUGAAGGAAAUUUGGGGAAGGGGUAAAUAGCAAUUAAUAAACUCUUUGCUCUGCCCUAACCCAUCUCUAUAAAAGCCCCAUUUCCUGAAAAUUUUAAGGGGAUGAGAUUGUAUCAAAUAAAAAACGACUGAAAAAUACCGAACGAGUUUGAAUAAUUAGAAAAAUACAAAGACAAAUCAUAGAAUUACUGUUAAAUUGAAGUUUUUCUGCAAUUCUAAUGGUUCUCAAGUUUGAAAGUAAUCUUUGAUUCAUUUUGGGCUCGAUUUAGUGUAAUGAAGUUGGAUUUGAUAUUGUUGAACUGCUGAAGUGCACCUGCUUCUGAUGUUGAUCUUGUCACCCCUUUCUUUUGCUCUAAAUUGCAUCAGGUAUUCUCCUGAAACUAUGGUGGAAAUGAAGCCUGAUUAAGUUUUGUAAAUAGAUCUGCGAAUCGAGCUAAAGUUUAAAUGAAAAACACUAGUUCAUGUUGUAAUUACUGCUCGAUUUUGCCAUUUUUCAUGCUUUUAGUCUAGUUUAUUUUAGAUAUUUCAUUCCUGAAUGUACAUUUAAUUUAAGUGUUGGGUGGACUUUGUUUGAAUAUAGGUGAUUCAGGAAUGUUUUAAAUCUAGUAUAAUCUGUGUUAAUUGAAGAUUAUGAUUCCAAAUUUAAUUAGUUAAGGCUGGAUGGUUUCGAUGUAUGUUUCAUGGCUAUGGUUUGAAUUACAAGUUUAGACCCUUCAUGUUGUUGUUCUAGCAAGCUUGGUUUGGGUUUAUUUCCCACCGUUCAUUUUAGAUAUGUUCCUAUAUAACUUGAAAUAUAGUACAAUGGUUUUAGAGUUAUCCUUCAGUAUGCUUUUGCUCUUGUACGAGCACUUUUAAUCUUAGAAGGAUUUUUGAAUGGGGUUUGAGCUUGGUUUUUGACUUGAAACUUUUAGAUUUAAACUAACCCUUCAUAUUUUGUUUUCUUUGACAAAUUUCGAUGUCAUGUGGUAUGUUUUAAAUGUGCUAUGCUUGAAUAAGAAUUUAAUACGAGCUGGGGGGCCUUUGAGUUUUGUUAAUUGGUGAAUAAUUUGUGUAAAGGUGUGUUAUUGCAAAUAAGGAUUGUAUCUUCGUAUUAGAACCUAUGUUAGCAUUAAAAUGUGCUUUCCAUUUGAUUCAAAGAUUAUCAGUAUUUGUUCAAUUCCAGAUUUUCUUUAAUGUUAUAAUUUGCUUCAAACAUAUUCAAUGAAUCGUGUAUUAGGGUGCCAUCAUUGGCCCAAUUGCAAUUGUCUUCCCUUGCUGCAAUCAGGCUGCCAAUAUGUGCUUCACGUUGAACCUAGUUAUUUCACAUGCUGAGCCUAUAGUAAUGGGCAAUCAGACGUGGUUUUUGACCAGCUCGGCCCUCCCACAAUCAAAUAUGGGUAGUCUGUUACUAGUUCGUUGUUUUAUUAAAUUAUUAGCUUAAGAUUUGGAAUAACAUAAGUAGGAAUCCCUAGUCACGUUCUUUUAAUUAUUUUCGAUGUGUGCCAUUAGCAAAUUUUCUAUAGCCCUUUGUAAACUUGGAAGUGCGUAGUUGCUUUAGGCGCGAUAUUUAAAAAUUACUUCCCUAAACUCGGGUGUGCAUUUAUGUGACCCAAAUCUAAAUCUCAACAACGUUAGAUGAAAUAUGUCAUAGACCGCGAGUGCAUUUAUGUGACAUAGUUCAAGACGAGUUUUAUAUGACGUUGAAUCUUUCCUAAAAAAUGAAAUAAUAAUUGAAUAAAAGCGGGUAUAAUGUUAAAGUUGUACCAUAGGUUAAACAUGUAUUAAAAUCAAAUAAUAGGCCAAUUAUAAUAGUUGAGCGACCAUGCUAGAACCAUAAAACUCAUGAAUGCUUAACACCUUCUCCCGGGUUAAUAGAAUUCCUUACCCAUAUUUCUGUGUUCGCGGACUGUAAUACAAAGUUAAUCUUUUCCUCAAUUCGAGAUUUGAACUAGUGACUUGGGAUACCGUAAAAUUAUCCCAAGUGGUGACUCCGAAUUUUUAAAUAAAAAUAUUCUCGUUUCGAUUGUCACUUAAAUUGGUAAAACUCCCUAAUCUACCUUCCAAGGUGUAGGAAAAAGGAUGUGUGAUAGUUAUUACCAUCGAUUUGUUGAUGGGUUUUCAUCUAUUGCAGCACAUAUGACCAGGCUGACCUAGAAGGGUGCUCCGUUCCAGUGGACGGGAGAGUGUGAGGCGAGCUUUCAGAAGCUCAAGACAACUUUGACUACAGCCCCAGUCUUGAUAUUGACUACAGCCCCAGUCUUGAUAUUGCCUAUAGGUUCGAGGUCUUAUACUGUCUAUUGUGAUACCUUAAUGAUGGGCCUUGGAGCGGUAUUAACGCAGAAUGGUAGGGUGAUUGCCCAUGCGUCCAUACAGUUGAAGGUACACGAGAAUAAUUAUUAUGUCCAUGAUCUUUAGUUAGCUGCUAUUGUCACGCCUUAAAGAUCAGGCGUCAUUGUUUGUAUAGUGUGCCUUGUGAGAUUUAUGCUGAUCACCAGAGUUUGCAACAUCUGUUUAAGCAGAAGGAUCUUAAUUUGCGCCAGAUGAGAUGGUUAGAGUUGUUGAAGGACUAUAUAUCGCUAUUUUGUAUCACUCGGGUAAGGUCAAUGUGGAGACUAGUGCUUUGAGUGACCGAGAAGAAAGGCUAGGGAUUUAAGCUUAUUUAACAGCAUAAGAGAUGUCCAUGGCGAUGGAUGUUCAUGCCUUAGCUAGCAAGUUUGUGAGAUUGGAUAUUUUAGAGCCCAGUCGGGUUCUAGCUUGCGUGGUCUUCUGUAUUUCUUGUUUUAUCGUAUUCGGGAGCGUCAGUUUGAUGACCAUUAUUUGCUUGUCCUCUAAGACAAGGUUUUGCAUGGCGAUGCCAGAGAUGUGACUAUUGGUGAUGAUGGGGUAUUAAGGAUGUAGGGUCGAGUAUGUGUACCCAAUGUUGAUGGGCUUCAGGAGUUGAUUCUAGAGAAGACACAUAGUUUGCAGUAUUCUAUUCAUCCGGGUGCCGCGAAGAUGUACCGUGAUUUAAGGCAGCACUAUCGGUGGAGGCAUAUGAAGAAAAAUAUAGUUGGUUUUGCAUCUCGGUGCCUCAAUUGUCAACAGGUGAAGUAUAAGCACCAUAUAUUAGGCGGGUUGCUUAAACAGAUAGAGAUCCAGGAGUGGAAGUGGGAGAGGAUCACCAUGGACUUCGUAGUUGGACUCCCACAAACUUUGAGGAAGUUCGAUGCCAUUUAGGUGAUUGUGGAUCGGCUGACCAAGUUCGCGAAUUUCAUCCCUAUGUGUACUACCUAUCUUUGAAGUGACUAGCAGAGAUUUAUAUCUGGGAAAUUGUUCGUCUGCAUGGUAUUUAGAUUUCUAUCAUUUCAGAUAGAGGUACUCAGUUCACAACAUGGUUUUAGAGGGCCGUACAUCAUGAGUUGGGUACUCGGGUGGACUUGAGUACAACAUUUCACCCUCAGACGAACAGACAGUCCAAAUGCACUAUUCAGAUUCUUGAGGAUAUACUCAAUGCGUGUGUGAUUGAGUUUAGAGGGUCUUGGGAUUAGUUCUGGCCAUUAGCGAAGAUUGCCUACAACAACAGUUACCAGUCUAGCAUUCAGAUGGCACCGUAUGAGGUUUUAUAUGGUUGGCGGUAUAGAUCCCAAAUGGGUUGGUUUGAGCCAGAUGAGGCUAGAUUAUUGGGCACAUGCUUGGUACAAGAUGCUUUGGAGAAGGUUAAGGUGAUUCAGGAUAGAUUUCCCACAGCCCAGUCUAGACAGAAGAGUUAUACAAACUGGAAGGUUCGUGAUGUUCCCUACAUUGUUGGAGAGCGGGUCUUGCUUCGAGUUUCGCCUAUGAAGGGUGUUAUGAGAAUUGAGAAGAAAGGGAAGUUGAGUCCGAGGUUUAUUGGCCCUUUUGAGAUAUUGAGGCGUGUUGGGGANNNNNNNNNNNNNNNNNNNNNNNNNNNNNNNNNNNNNNNNNNNNNNNNNNNNNNNNNNNNNNNNNNNNNNNNNNNNNNNNNNNNNNNNNNNNNNNNNNNNNNNNNNNNNNNNNNNNNNNNNNNNNNNNNNNNNNNNNNNNNNNNNNNNNNNNNNNNNNNNNNNNNNNNNNNNNNNNNNNNNNNNNNNNNNNNNNNNNNNNNNNNNNNNNNNNNNNNNNNNNNNNNNNNNNNNNNNNNNNNNNNNNNNNNNNNNNNNNNNNNNNNNNNNNNNNNNNNNNNNNNNNNNNNNNNNNNNNNNNNNNNNNNNNNNNNNNNNNNNNNNNNNNNNNNNNNNNNNNNNACUGCAUUGUAAGCUUUUCUUUGGCUCACCAAGGGAGGUUGAUUAUGAGCUUGCCUUACCUCCCAGCUUGGAAGGAGUUCAUCUGGUAUUUCAUGUUUCGAUGCUCCAUAGUUAUCACGAUGAUCUAUCGCACGUGUUGGAUUUCAGUUCAAUCCAGUUGGACAAGGAUUUAUCUUAUGUUGAGGAGACGGUUCUAAUGUUAGAUAUGCAGGUUUCGGAACCUGAGGUCAAAGAACAUUGAAUUAGUAAAGGUUUAGUGGCGGGGUCAGCCGGUUGAGGAGGCGUCCCGGAAGACUGAGCAGGAUAUGCGCAGCCGUUACGCUCAUCUUUUCACUACUUCGGGUAUGUCUCUAUGCUCGUUCAAGGAUGAACAAAUAAUUGAAUAUAUGAGAAUAUAAUGACCCGGGUGGUAGUUCUAUGAAUUUAUGCACUAAUCCGCUAUUAACUGAAUUUCCCGUGUUUGUUUUUGCUCUUGUGAGUUACCAGGAUGAUUUAUUUGGAGUUUCGGAGUGUUUUGGGACACUUAGUCCUUAAGUUUUUGAAUUUGGACUGUAGUCGGAGUAGUGUGAAUACGGCCUUGGAAUGGAAUUCUGUUGGUUCUAUUAGCUCCGUUGGGUGAUUUCGGACUUAAGUGCUUGUUUCGAUCGUGUUUUAUAGGUCUGUAGUUAACUUUAGGCUUGAAAUGUCGAAAGUUGAAUUUUUGAAGUUUUCGGUUCGAUAGUGAGAUUUUGAUAUCGAGGUCAGAAUGGAAUUUUAGAAAUUAGAGUACCUACAUAGUGUUGAAUGUGACGUGCUGCCAAAUUUCAGGUAAUUCUGACGAGGUUUUAUAUACUUUUUUAUCGAAUGCAUAAAUUGAGGGUUUUUGGAAUUCUUUGGCUUGAAUCCAAUUUUAAAUUGGUGUUUUGAUGUUGUUUUGAGCAUUCCGAAGGUUGGAACAAAUUUGAUUGAUGUUUUAGGAUUGGUUGGCAUUUUUGGUUGAGGUCCCGAGGGCCUUGGGUGAGUUUCUGGUGCUUAACGGAAGUUGAAUUGGACUUGGGAGAAUUUGAGAUUGGCUGAACCUAUCACAACCGCACCUGCGUGAAUGGGACCAUAGGUGCGGCACCGUAGAAGAAGCUGAGAGACCUCAGAAGCGAGAUAGGCCGGGCUCUAGAAAACCACAGGUGCGAAAUAGCAAACGCACUUGUGAGACCGCAAGUGCCAUAAAGGAGUCGCAGGUGCGGAAUUGAUGUUUAAUGAAAUUUCACAUACGCGACAUUAAUUACACAGAAGCAGGACUGCACCGACUGCAAAUGCGGUUCCAAUGUUCGGAACAUAAAGUCCAAAAUUGAGGGUUUUGGGUUCAUAUCACAAAAUUGAAUUGGGAGCUCGGUAGGAGACGAACUUUGGAAAGAGUUUUGGAGAGAGUCUGCGGGAAAUAAUUCCUAACUUAUUUUUUUAUUUUAACCCAUUAAUCUAAACGUGAAUUUAUUGUCUAAUUUUGAAUUUGGGGAAAAUUUGGAAAAUUUCUUAGGCCUAAGUUUCGAGUUUUGAUUGGGGAUUUUGACAUUGGAUUUGGACAAUUAUGGUAUGUAUGAACUCAUGAGAUUGUAAGGAUUUUGGAAUUGUAAAUUUUAUCCGAUUUGAAGAUGUGGGCUCGAGGAGCGUUUUGGUUAUUUUUUAUAAUUUUGUGUAUUAGCGUAGAAUUAAUUAGUGGAAUAAGUUACUUGAAGUUAUAUUUACAUUUUGCAAUUGAUUUGAAUAGUUUUGGACCAUUUGGAGUCGAGUACUCGUGGCAAUAGUGUGGUUUCGGUUUGAUAUUGAGCCCGUUCGAGGUAAGUGGCUUGUCUAACCUUGUAUGGGGGAACUAUCCUCAGGAUUUGGUGUUGUUGAUAUAUGAAAUGCCUUAUUCAUGAGGCAACAAGUGCGUACAUAUGCUAAUUGUUGAAAAUUCGAUUUUCAUUAAG